rnacentral:rRNA from 1 species
UACGUAGGUGACAAGCGUUGUCCGGAUUUACUGGGCGUAAAGAGCGCGCAGGCGGUCGAUCAAGUCGGGUGUGAAAGCCCCCGGCUCAACUGGGGAGGGUCAUUCGAUACUGAUCGACUCGAAGGCAGGAGAGGGUAGUGGAAUUCCCGGUGUAGUGGUGAAAUGCGUAGAUAUCGGGAGGAACACCAGUGGCGAAGGCGACUACCUGGCCUGUUCUUGACGCUGAGGCGCGAAAGCGAGGGGAGCAAACGGG